rnacentral:lncRNA from 1 species
CGUGACUGUCUUGAGUCUUCGCCUCUUCAGUCUUCGCUUCGGUCUUCAGAUUAACAAAUCAAAACGCACAAAGCCACAAAUACAGAACAAUUAAGCUUUCUUUUGUCCUCGCAGUUACAACUUGUUUUCUACUAAUGGCUUCUAAUUGAGAGCAUGAUCUUCUGGGACCCUAAGCCCAAAUCGUGAUUUUAAGCAAUUAUGCAGAACCAUGUUUGAGGAUCUCUUCUUCAAGUCAUCAAACCAAGCAGCAACAGCAGGUACAUAUUCUCAAGCUUCUUUCUUCGCUUUUCCUUUUACUUCUCCAGGUUCACUGCUUUAUACCCUAGUUUUCUGGCUUGAUCUUCAUUUUAGCUUUCAUCUUAUUCAGAUUUCAACAUGUUCGAUAAAAUGCCUCAACCAAACUUUACCCUAUUUUCUGUUUAUUUUCAGCACUUGAGAGAAGUUUUUGUACUCUUUAUAUUCUUGGAGAAUCACUAAUAUCGAAUGUUGCUUAACCUCUGUGCAAUUUGUUUGUGGGGAAACUCUCUAUCAAUUGUUGAAGCACCAACAGUAAGAAUCCAUGGAGCAAUAUUAACAGCAGUGUAUGGACCUGGACCUGGUCCUGCAUUCCCAGCAGAGCAAGACACGACAACUCCAUGUUGUGAUGCACUGAAAGCCCCAAUCGCAAUCGAAUCAUGAUUAUAUUGAGGAGCAUGACCAGUAGCACCAACAGAUAAAGAAAUCACAUGGACUCCAUCAUAGAUAGCCUGAUCCAUCGCAGCAAGAAUAUCAGAGUCAUAACAACCUGAACUCCAACAAAUCUUGUAAGCAG